GAUGAACGCUGGCGGCGUGCCUAAUACAUGCAAGUCGAGCGAACAGACGAGGAGCUUGCUCCUCUGACGUUAGCGGCGGACGGGUGAGUAACACGUGGAUAACCUACCUAUAAGACUGGGAUAACUUCGGGAAACCGGAGCUAAUACCGGAUAAUAUAUUGAACCGCAUGGUUCAAUAGUGAAAGACGGUUUUGCUGUCACUUAUAGAUGGAUCCGCGCCGCAUUAGCUAGUUGGUAAGGUAACGGCUUACCAAGGCAACGAUGGGUAGCCGACCUGAGAGGGUGAUCGGCCACACUGGAACUGAGACACGGUCCAGACACUUACGGGAGGCAGCAGUAGGGAAUCUUCCGCAAUGGGCGAAAGCCUGACGGAGCAACGCCGCGUGAGUGAUGAAGGUCUUCGGAUCGUAAAGCUCUGUUAUUAGGGAAGAACAAAUGUGUAAGUAACUAUGCACGUCUUGACGGUACCUAAUCAGAAAGCCACGGCUAACUACGUG
rnacentral:rRNA from 1 species